rnacentral:rRNA from 1 species
UACGUAGGGUGCGAGCGUUAAUCGGAAUUACUGGGCGUAAAGCGUGCGCAGGCGGUUUUGUAAGCCGGAUGUGAAAGCCCCGGGCUUAACCUGGGAAUGGCGGUUGAAACUAGUCGACUCGAAUCUGGCAGAGGGGGGUGGAAUUCCACGUGUAGCAGUGAAAUGCGUAGAGAUGUGGAGGAACACCGAUGGCGAAGGCAGCCCCCUGGGCUGAGAUUGACGCUCAGGCACGAAAGCGUGGGGAGCAAACAGG